UGCAUUGUUUUAGGUGCCAAUUCUAGAAGUUUUUAGGAGGGAGUUUUUGAAUUUGUGUAGCUUGCAUUUCAGCACCUUAGGCUAUAAAUAGAGGUGCUCCCUUUGUAUUUUUCAGAAUUGAAAUUGGAGUAAAGAAACUAUACUCAAUUUUUGAGUGAGCAUUGGAGAGCUUUUGAGCCUUCUUCUCUAGUCUUAUCUUGAAGGAUCCAUGGUGUCCUCAAGUGGCGGCAGCACACUCAUCUAGGAGCAACCAACCUUCUAGUGGCGUGAUCACUCACCUUCUCUUCCAUCUCCAUAAGCUUUUCUCUUCUCCUUCCUUCCUACUCUUUCAAUUGUUCAUGUUUAGCUUGUGUUCUUGAGUUUUGGUUUGGUUAU
rnacentral:lncRNA from 1 species